AGAUGGGCGAUGACUUCGUGUGAGAAGAAACUGUCCACGUGUCCAGAGCAGAACAUCAAACAUAACAGAGGAAACUCACAGCCUCGCCUGUCUCUGGAGAUGAAACUACCAUGUGUAUUACCGGCCCACAAAGAAGCCAAAGUGAGGGAACAGAGGAUCCGAAUGAAAAGUGAAUCUCACAGCUCCUGGGGUGACUGCCUAGAAAAGCAACUCACUCACCAACCCCUUCAGAUCCAAUGGAUGGACAUGGAAAAAGUACCAUCUCAAGCAACUAAGUGCCUCCAACAGAGGGAAGAAGGUACCGUGGCAGAAGUUUGAUGGAGAUCUUAGGACAGGUAGGUCCUCGAAUAGGCAUCUCUCCAGCCCAUCUAACCAAUGAGGAAAUUGGCAGAAAUAACUAAUAUUGGGGAGAAGGGUUUUGGUAUUCAUCAGUUCAUCUCUGCUCUGCAAAUCAGUAAGGAUUAGAAUCCUUCCUCUCAAAUCUGAAAAAGAAAUUCAGUAAGAAUUCUACCUGGGAGCCUGUAUUGCUGAAUACAGAGGUGAGCUCCUCCAACUAGCCUCCUGAGGAGCACAGGCUCUGGCUGGAGAGCAUUCAGGGAGACACUGCCCAGCUGCAGGGCCAGCCUGGACUCCAGUGCUAACCCAGAAAUCAAGCGUGAACGUGAGGCUUUGCCACAUGCUGGCCCUGCUCAGUGCUGGUCAUUGAUUAUCACAAGGCAAAGAUAGAGCUUCUAAGCUUUUUUUUUUUUUUUUUGUCUUUUGUCUUUUUUAGGGCCUCCACAGCAUGUGGCGUUUCCCAGGCUAGGGGUGGAAUCAGAGCUUGUAGCUGCCUAUGUAGCUGGCCUACACCACAGCCACAGCAAUGCUGGAUCUGAGCCAUGUCUGCAACCUACACCACAGCUCAUGGUAACACCAGAACCUUAACACACUGAGCAAGGCCAGGGAUCGAACCCGCAUCCUCAUGGAUACUAGUUGAAUUCGUUAACCGCUGAGCCAUGACAGGAACUUUGUGCUUCUAAGUUUUAUAAUGAUGAAAGAGAUAAAGAAGACAUGAUAUUUUUCAGGAACUUUCCUAGUUUGUUCUAAUCUCUGAUCAGCAUGCCCUUUUCACAGGUACUGUUAUUCUAGGCAAUAACCCAGGAGACCACCAUCACACUCGUACCGAGAUCUCCUGACUCCAGCUUUGAUGACUAAGAUUCCCCCAAAGAAAGAAGAAUGCAUGUUUGUAGCAAUCCUGAUUCCUAUCUGAAAACCUGUUUUUCUCCUUUGUACUGUGAAACUCCUAACAAUUCUUUCCAAUGGGGGGCGGGGGCACAGU
rnacentral:lncRNA from 1 species